UACGGGGGGGGCAAGCGUUGUUCGGAAUUACUGGGCGUAAAGGGCUCGUAGGUGGCCAACUAAGUCAGACGUGAAAUCCCUCAGCUUAACUGGGGAACUGCGUCUGAUACUGGAUGGCUUGAGAUUGGGAGAGGGAUGCGGAAUUCCAGGUGUAGCGGUGAAAUGCGUAGAGAUCGGGAGGAACAUCAGUUGCGAAGGCGGCUCUCUGGACCAGUACUGACGCUGAGGCACGAAAGCGUGGGGAGCAAACAGG
rnacentral:rRNA from 1 species